rnacentral:rRNA from 1 species
UACGUAGGGUGCAAGCGUUGUCCGGAAUUAUUGGGCGUAAAGAGCUUGUAGGCGGUUUGGCGCGUCUGCUGUGAAAUUUCGGGGCUCAACCCCGAACUUGCAGUGGGUACGGGCAGACUAGAGUGUGGUAGGGGAGACUGGAAUUCCUGGUGUAGCGGUGAAAUGCGUAGAUAUCUGGAGGAACACCGGUGGCGAAGGCGGCAUCCUGGACCAACACUGACACUGAGGAGCGAAAGCCAGGGGAGCAAACGGG